rnacentral:rRNA from 1 species
AUGAUGACGACGACAGACAGACAUCAUGAUGUAGAUUUCAUUCCUACAGACGGCGAUGAUGUCGAAGAGCAUGACAGCGACGCAGAACAUGACGAGGAUGCCAAAUCAGGCAAGAAGGACAGAAAGAGAAGCAAGACAAGCGGGAAAGAACUGGUAGUACCGACAGUUGACGAAGAACAGCAAGAAACAGACGAAGAGAAAUGCCAAAUCAAGGCAGGGGAAGCAUUCACCCAUGUCAAGAAAGCAUGGAAUUUACUUAAAGACCGUCACAAGAAAGAUAUUAGGACGGCAGGAUUUGGUAGCAUAGAGAACUGCAAAAUAACGGGCUCCAUCUGCAGACCGCUUGCAGCACACAUCUACGACAACCUCAACACAGAAACCAUGACAAUAACCUUCGGUGAUGCUACUGAAGACAAAAAAAAUCAAGAUUACCAAGGAAGCUACCCAGAAGGUGUUUGGAUACCCAAACGGCACACAAAGCGCCGCUAUCUUCGCCCGAACAGCUAUAAUGGUCAAGGACAUGGACUAUCCGGAAAUGGCAAAGAUGGAUUUCUACGAGGUAAUCGUCAAAUGUAUUAG